rnacentral:lncRNA from 1 species
GGGCUGCCACGGUUGCCUCAUGUCCCGAGACCCCUACUGCGGCUGGGACCAAGGCCGCUGCAUCUCCAUCUACAGCUCCGAACGGUCAGUGCUGCAAUCCAUUAAUCCAGCCGAGCCACACAAGGAGUGUCCCAACCCCAAACCAGGUACCUGAUCUGGCCCUGCUGGCGGCUGUGGCCCAAUGAGUGGGGUACUGCCCUGCCCUGAUUGUCCUGGUCUGAGGGAGACAUGGCCUUGUCCUGUGGGCCCCAGGUACAUGGGGCAGGAUACAGUCCUGCAGAGGGAGCCCUCUUGGUGGGAUGAGCGAGACGGGAGAAAAAAGGAGGACGCUGAGGGCUGGGUUCCCCACGUUCAUUCAGAAGCCUUGUCCUGGGAUCCCAGUCCGUGGGGAGGACACAUCCUCCCCUGGGAGCUCUUUGUCCCUCCUCACGGCUGCUUCCCCACUGCCUCCCCAGACAAGGCCCCACUGCAGA